GGGAAACCCACCUUUGCAGACGACCGUGAGCGCCGCGGUGCACACGGCCACCGCCACCGCCGCCACCAGGGCCAGCACCUGGGCCAGGGUGAGGCUGCCGUAGGCCUGGUCCGGGCCUGGAGGGGGUGGGGGUCAGCAAGGGCCGCAGUCCGGCCCCAUUCGGAGCGCGGUCGGUCGGGAGCUUUCCCGGCCCCGGCGGCUGCGGAACUCGCAGGUCAGGCCUACGCCUCGGCUCAGCUCGGCUCGGCUCGGGCUCGGCUCGGUUCGAUUCGGCUCGGCUCAGCUAGGCCUCGGCUCGGGCUGGGGACCCCGGGCGCAUGCGUAUGCUCACCGACGCCGCGCGCCGGGCUCCAGUCGCUCCACACCGCCCCGCGCACGUGGCGUACGCGCACGCGCACCGAGCCCCCCGCCACCAGCGCAUGCGCGUUCCGCUCCCGGCCCCGCUGGAAAACCUGCGCGGAGGACUUAGCUCCCAGCACCCGGCGUGCAACCCGAGCGCUGGGUGCCGGCACGGGCUGCCCCCCGCUGCGUUUCUGGUCCCUGCACCUGCGGGGACCUUCAGCCCCAACCCCACCUCCCGCAGACGCCCGGGAACGGGAGCCGGGACAGGAGCGGCCCGGGCCAGCUGGGUGCUCGGUCCCGGGGUGACCCAGCGAUUGAUCGCAGGGCCGGGUGCGCCCCAGCGCGCAGGACUCGGGCUGGGAACCCCAAGAGCCACAGGAAAGUCUCCUCAUGAGAAGGAGCCGGGUGCGGAGGCGCGCGCCUGGGACCCAGCUCCCCGGGAGGCUGAGGCAGGAGGGGCUCCGGGAGCCGAGCGAGGACCCCCAGGGCGGCAGCCGGGCGGGGCGCGGGCACUCACGGGCGGUGCCUCGGCCUCGGCGCCCUGUGGGAGGGAGACGGAGCGGUGGCGGGCGGGCCAUGCAGUCGCCUCCUCGCUGCCCCCGGCAGUGGCCGCAGCCGGAGAGAGCUCGAGAUCGCCCGCCUGCGCCUCCGCCUCCGCCUCCGCCUCCGCCUCCCGGCCGCCGUACCCGCCUGCGGACGUCCAGCUCGCAGUACAGGGUGCUCGGGCUCUGCUCGAACCUCCGCGCCGGGUUGUCCCAGCCAGCACACGACGAGGCCCGGGCCCGCGGGGCCGACCGAGCCGUUGGCGGGAGGGCUCUACUUCUCUGUCCCCCGCACAAACCGGAACACGAACAGGCGGAAGCGGCCGCGGCCGCGGAGACGGAAAUGACCCAGCUCCCAGGACCCCCGGCCCCAGGCUGGCUUCCUCGGCCGUUCCGAGGCAGAAUCUCGCUCGCUGUGCAGCCCACCCGGGCCUUGAGCUCACGACGUGGCCCAGGCUGGCUUCCAAUUCGGGGAGAUCCUUCUGCCUCAGCCUCGCGAGUGCUGGGAUCACAGGCGUGCCCACCGCGCCCGGCUGAUCUUCCUGCCCCUCGUGGGACCCCAGGGAGACCGGUGGCCUCUCCUCCUGUCCCCGUGGGGAUUUUCCACCGCACACUGCCCCGGGGCGGAAGCAGGAGAGGCUGAAGCAGGCAGCGAUGGUCUCACCGAUCAGAAAGGCCACAAAGGGCGGCGCGUCCAGGAACGGGAUGGUCGCCUCGCCGCUGGUGCCGUGGACCAGGAAGAAGGAAUUACCCAACGUCUUGGGCUCCCGGCCGAGCUGGGUGAAAUGGCAGCCCACGCGCAGCCCCUUUGAGUCCAGGGAGUAGUGGAGGCAUUCGGCCUCGGCGUCGUUCCUGGAGGGCCCAGAGGGCCGCGCAGAGUCAGAGAAAACCAGAGAGGGUUUGGGGCGCGGGCCCUGAACCCGAAAACAGCCCCUUGCAAGGCUGGGGUGCUUGGCUGUAAGAAGAGCAGCCCAGUUUUGUUUACUUCCGCCCAGCUUGCUGCUGUUGACAGGGCACAGAACCAGGCUUUCGGGGCGCGCCCGUCAUCCCAGCACUCGGGAGGCCGAGGCAGGACGACUUCCAGCCUUGCCUGGGCCACCGAGUGACUCGGCGAGACCCUGUCCGCCAAUAAAAACACCAACAGGCCGGGGCUGGAGCUCGGCCGGCAGCUGUGAGUUCCAGGAGCACAUUUUUAAAAAAGAAAGGAAAGGAGAAAAAGGACCCGAGAUGGCAGCCCCCUGUCCACCCCACUUGUCCGGCCUGGGCCACCCCAUCCCGCCCCACGGUGCCCACUCACGGGUCGAACCAGAACAGCUGGUAGACGGUGUCCACGGGGGCUGUUUGGCCCGGCGCCCAGCUGCAGUUCAUGGCGUGCACGUCAUAGAUGAUGCAGGACAGGUUGGCGGCGCCGGCCCCGGGGCCUGCCUGGGAUGCAGCGACCAGGGCCUCAGCGGCGCGGCACGGGGCCAGAUCCUGGCCCCUGGCCCCCCGGGCCCCAUGUCACCUG
rnacentral:lncRNA from 1 species